CUGGGAAUCUUGCGCAAUGGACGAAAGUCUGACGCAGCGACGCCGCGUGUGGGAAGAAGGCCUUCGGGUCGUAAACCACUGUGGUAGGGGAAUAACAAAUGAAGGUACCCUACUAGAAAGCACCUGCUAACCACGUGCCAGAAGCCUCGGUAAUACGUGGGGUGCAAGCGUUAUCCGGAUUUACUGGGCGUAAAGCGUUCUGUAGGCGGUUUUGUAAGUAUAUGGUUAAAGGCUGCGGCUCAACCGUAGACAUGCUGUAUAAACUACAAUGACUAGAUGGUUGUCGGGAGUAUCGGAAUUCUCGGUGGAGGGGUGAAAUCCGUUGAUAUCGAGAGGAACACCAAAGGCGAAGGCAGAUACUUAGGCAAUUUAUGACGCUGAUAGACGACAGCUAGGGGAGCGAAAGGGAUUAGAUACCCCCGUAGUCCCUGAGCGGGCUGGCAAGGCGCAU
rnacentral:rRNA from 1 species